UCACUAGGAAAUCAAUAGUAGCCUAACUACCUCACGAUGUUUAUGUCAUUCACCUCUUCUCAUUACGUAGGCAUUUGGUCAUCUCACAUCAAUACAAGUAAAAGGGUGAGUACAGUAAGGUAUUUUGAGGGACCACAUUCAAAUAAUUUUUAUGACUGUAUAUUAUUAUAAUUAUUUUAUUAUUAAUCACUGCUAAUCUCUUACUGUGCCUAAUUUAUAAAUUAAGCAUUAUCUUACGUAUGUGUGCAUAGGAAAAAACAUAGUAUACGUAGGGUUCCAUACUAUCCAUAGUUUCAGGCAUACACUUAGGGGGCUUAGGACGUAUUUUCUGAGGAUAAGGGGGAGAGUGCUGUAUUUCUUCCCUUUUUUGGGUGAGAACAUUUAAAUUCUACUUUCAGCAAAUUUCAAGUAUACAAUACAUUGUUAUCAACUAAAGUCACCAUGUUAUACAUCAGAUCCUCACACCUUAUUCAUCUUGUAGCAGAGUUUAUACCUUUUUAUCAAGUGUCCCUAUUUCCCCCCAACUCCUAGGAACCACUUUUCUACUCUUUAUAAACAAGAUCUUUACCAGACUAGAAUACCACUUUGUAAUGAAAUAGAGAAUGACUAUGAAAAUCAUGUGGUGUUUUCUUUGCUAUACUUGAUGGCAACAGUGUUUGAUGGCUUUGUUUUCAUUACUUUGGCAGUUGUUGAACUUGAAGAUGUUAUGCAUUUUUUCCUUUGCAAAAUAGUGUCCCAAAUUUGUUGACCUUUUCCUUUUCCUUGGCUGUCCGUAGUUUUUCUGUUAGAUAUUUAAAGUACAAAAACAAACCCCAUAACCUUCUUAUACAAUAAAGGUGAUAAAUUAAAAAAUGAAUAAGAAAUAACUCCUUUUGAAAAAAGCAUAGGCCAUAGAGUAUUUUGAAGAUUAAUGUUUGAAAAAUUCCCAUUGUUAAUAUGGUUUUGUUGCAAAAAAAAGUAAAUAUUUCAUGCAUAACAAUUUUCAUUGGAAACUAGUGUGUUUAAAAAUAUUUUCAAAUGAUAUAUUUUAGAGUUUGAAGCAAUAUGUUUAAGUUUACACCAACGGAACAUUCAGUGAGUAAAUAUAGCAGGAUGAAAAUUUACCAACUCAUUUUUUUAAGUUUUUAUUUUAAUUCCAGUUUACCAGCUCAUUUUUAACAAAACUUCUGCCUAAACGGUAGGUAGUGUUGAGCAAUGAGUGUCAGGACUUAGGACCAGCCAAGGACAAACUUUCCACCUGCCUCUGUGUGACAGCAUGCAGACCAAGGAUGUCCGUACAUAAGCCCACACCCAAAUCUUCUAAUCCUUUGUUUUCUUCCAAUAUAUAUAUAUUUUUAUCAACAACCAAGAUAUUUUAUAAAAUUAGGGAAUUUUCAUUCAUAAUUGUGUUUAUAAAAACAUCUAGAAAAAUAACAAUUUUGAGGAGGAUAGUUUUACACCAAUAAAUAAAUAGUUUAAAAUUCUGCUUUUUAUGUUGAUCUUUUUUUACCUUCUAUUUUUAGCAUUUUUGAUUGUAUACAACUUACUAUAGUGCUUGUGUGCGAUUAUACAUAAAUAUUAAUAAAAGGGGUGAUGUUUUUUCUAAACCGAAGUGGUACGUGAUUUUCAGAGGUGGGAUUAAAAAUGUUUACAGUCCUGGCAACUAAAACCCAAAGAAGCAAAUUGAAUUGAUUCAGGGGUCUCAGACCAGAACUGGAACUUGGGUCUGUUUUUUCCUAUGUGGGUUUUUUUCCAUCUUACACCCUUCUAAUGUAUUUUUAUUGCCCUAGGUGAAGAGGAUUGUGUUGAAACACAUUUACAUCUGCUGGAGAAUUGGAGCAUGAGCAGUGGGACUCACUCUUUUGUUUGGUUAUGAUACAGCUGGUGGUAGAAACCUGAACUCUCCGAGAUACACAUCUCCAUAGGAAAAGCAGUGGGUGAUGGGAUAAAACACUAGGUCUCAAACCUGAGUUUCGCUUUUUCCAUAAAGAACUGUAUUUUUUUGUCCCUUAACUCCUUGAUGGUUGGAUGCAAGUUUUCUAAUUAUUUUGUGUCGCCUUCAUGGUGAUUAGCACUGGGUAUGAGGGCAGGAUGGUCUAAUGGUUAAGAAAAUAGUGACUGUUGAGAGUCACAGGGUCUGUGGUAUGGCUGUCUACUAGAGGUAUAAACUUGACUGAUGGCCUUUCCAUGCCUUGCUUUUCUCAUGUGUAAAACAGAAGUAAUAAGUGGGUUACUAAUAGACUAUAUCUCAUGAGCUUCUUGUGACCAAGAACUGAGUUAAUUCAUGUAAAGCUCUUAGAAAAGUGGCUGACAGAUAGAAUGGUGAUAGCUGAGUUUUGGAAGAAAGGAUAAAGAAACUAUCUUCUAGAACCUUUAUUUCAGCUUUUGAGAUGAAAGAGGAUUGGAAUAAUCUUAGCAGAUUGACAGCAUACAGUGUAACUGUGUUCCUAAUUCUGGUCUUGAUGAGGAUUUUGACUUUUAUGUAUUUAUAAAUACAUACAAUUAUAAAAAGAAUGUCUUUUAUGUAUUUAUAACACUAGGUGGCAGUGUUAGCACAAGAUGGGAAAUCCAGAGUAGUUUUUGUUUGUUUUUUUCUUUUUUCUUCUCUUGCCUCUCCCAGAUUUAUAACUUUCUAGUCAGCUUUUGAAUCUCUGAUCAGUCCAGUAUUAGUAGUCUUAGCACAUCCCAGAGCUGAUUCCUACCAGAGAACGGCUAAAGGAUUAACAGGAAAUUUAAAUGAUCAUUGUCUCCUAUGGGCUUGUAGCAUUGUGGAAAAGUUAAGGUGGCUUUUCUACUGUGCAGGAAUGGAUUAGGGAAGGCUUUAGUGCAGUAAGCAGUGGCCUGGAGAGACCGUGCCUCUCCCCCAGUACGCCAGCUUUGAGAGGCUGUCAUGUUUCAGGAAUCUCCAUGCUUCUUCUGCUAAUGAGCCACAUACACUUAGCAGUGAGGAUUCUGCUGCAGCCAUUUCUUGCUGACUCUCUCUGUGGGGGAGGCAAGUCUUUAUUUGCUAGAACACUUGGGUCUUGAUUUUAAAACUGCCAGUGUUUUAAAUAAAAUUUUUAUUCAUUUUAGAUUGUUUACCUGGGGCUCCUUCAAGAAAACAGUAAGCAGACUGCUGGAAUUAUCACCUGUUAAAAUGAAAUAUGCAGCUGGCCCAAGUGGGCAAAGGCACGAGGACCACAGGGACGUGAGGGCUGCUCUUGCUCCUUCUUUGAACUGCAUGUUCACAGUGUUAAUUGAGCCCAAAGAGUUCUCAUUAGGCAGAUCAACCCUUCAUUGGAUUUCAGCAUCUCUUUCUCUCUCUCCGUGCACACACACAUAUUUUUGUUCAUUCAAACCACAAAUAUUGAGUGCCCACUAUGAGCCAGGCACUGAUAUCAAAAAUGCAGAUAAAGCAGUGAACGAAACGAGUGAUGACACCUCUCUUACAGAGUUUAUAUUGCGGUAUGAGACACACAAAUAUGGCAGGUGGUAAGUGUUGUGAAGUAAAGUGGUAUAAAUGGGUAGUAAUGGGAAAUAAAGGGGAUUCCAUUUUAGACAGAGUGACCAAGGAAGGAUUCUUGGCUAUGGUGAAGUCUAAGCAGACACCUGAAUUGCUAAAGAGUGAAUGGUCCACGACCCCCCAUUCGUAUGUUAAAUCCUAAUGCUCAUUGUGGUGGUAUUUGGAGGUGGGGUUUUGGGGAGGUGAUUAGGUCAUGGGAGUGGAGCCCUCAAGAAUGAGAUUAGUGUUCUUAUAAUUGAGGUCUUAGUUGUCUUUUCCACCAUGUGAGGGCAUAGAGAAAUGACAGCCAUCUAAUAACUAGGAAGGGGUAUUUCACCAGACACUGAAGCAGUGCCCUGAUCUAGGACUUCCCAGCCUCCAAAACUAUGAGUAAUAAAGCUGUAUAUAAGCUACCAACACAUGGUAUUCUCUUACAACAACAGCCUGAGGGGACUAAGACAUGAAUGAAAUGAGGUAGUGAAUGUGUAGUUUAUUAGGGUAAGAACAUUUCAAAGGGAGGUGCAUACAAAUGGUCUGAGGAAAUUGGGGGGUGAGGCACUGAGGCAGGAGGGGCAGAUACAAACUGAUGGGGCCUCAAGCUUGUGAAAAUUAGUCACCCUCUUUAAGAGGGAAUGCAAAAAUAAAUACAAGAGUAAAUAUUUACGAAAGAAAAUCCCAAGAAAUUACAAAAUUGAAAAAGCUGACAAGUUUUUUCAAGCAUCAGAGUCUAGUUAGGGAGUUUUACCCAUUAACUGCCCGACACCCUGUAGAAUGAUUUUCCCUUACAGUUUUGGCUGUGCACUCUUUGAUUACUUCUUCAUUCAACUUUGAUGGUGUAAUACAUGUUUAUGGAGACAAUAGAUAAUUUAGUCUUUCCUUUAGCAUCAUUGAGCAAAAUAUUACUGAUGCUUUAUACAUUUCUUGCAGCUUCACACCUUUUUUUUGUUUCUGCCAUGUGAAUUUCCAAAGUUCUCAAAAUUGCAAAAUCUCACAAAUUUCUUUCAAAUAUGAACUAUAAGAUUUGAAAGAUUUUUCCACAAAAUGGCUUUCAGUUUUAUUCAUUUCCAUCCUUGUUUUUUUAACCUCUGACCAAAUAUUUCUAAAGCUGGAUGUUGUGGGACCACAUUCACAUCUCAUUUGACUUUUGUCUUCACUGUCACAUCAUGACAUUGUAGAAUGGGUCAGCAUGGAGGAGGACAGCCAUUUCCUGGAAGUCCUUCCUAUGCCAAGAUAGCUAACAACAUGCAGAAGUAACAAGGCACGGGGACAUAUCACACAAAUGAAAUCCUGAAAUCAACUUCUUUUUAGCUAGAUCCUCAAAAUGCCCAGGCCACUUCACAGCCGUCUGAUAAGAGGAGGGACACUAAUGGAGGGAAAAUAGGACUGGAAAGAGACAGAGGUCUUAACUGAUUGUGGUUAAAAUAUUUCUCUUUUUUAAACUUUACCAAAUCUUAGGACUAUGUCAACACAUCACUAUACCAGUAAGGGGCCCGAAUACUAUGCUUUAUUAAUUUCAUGGUAAAACUGUCUCUUCCUGGGUAGUAAGAUACCCCUGCCCCACUGUUAGGUCAUUAAAGGGAGAGUAGAUCCAAGAGCGUGGGAUUUGUUGAGGAGAGUGAUAUGACAAAGUUCCAGAACAUACCCAACAGGCCAUGGCAGACAGAUUUCCCAUCUUGUACAGUUGUGCUUCUCCCCAGAGGACAUGAGACUGUGGGAUAAACAUGGGAGGGACAUUUUACUGGAUGGGUGGUGAUGGUGGUGGGUGAAGGGGAGGUGGGGUUAGGCCAUUUCACUGUUAGUUACCAUUUUCAUAUUGAAAUUAUUUUAAAAAUGUCAAUCCCACUUAUAAAGUAUAUUGAUCACAUGUGAAUUUUUAGGUCGAAAUAAUCUUCCAGAAGAAUUUUUCCCUUUAAGUGGCCUGUGUUAGGGACAUGGCCAUGACCUUUCCACAGUUAGGGCUUUCUUGGUAGGAAAUUCAGAGAAGUGUAUUUUGACUAAAAGUUCCAUCUUAUAAUGGUCUAUGGUCUCUUGUCCACCAGUGUGACACUGCUGAUGUCACUGGAACUGACAGGUUUUUAUUUGUUUUUUUCAUAGUUGUGGUUCUUCACACAACCUUUUUGUAUGGAUAAGGAAUAUGGCAUAGAGGUUAAGAGUGAAGGUCUUUUUUUGUAAUGCUUAUUUAUUUAUUCUGAGAGAGAGUGUGUGAAAGGGGGAAGGGCAGAGGGAGAGGGAGACAGAGGAUCUAAAGAGAUUUGAAGCAGGCCCUGCUGUCAGCACAGAGCCUGAUAUAGGGCUUGAACCGCGAGAUCAUGACCUGAGCCAAAGUCAGAUGCUUAACCGACUGAGUCCCCCAGAUGCCCCACAAGUGCAGAUUUUGGUGCCAAAAUGUGGCUUUUCCUUGGGCUCCACUACUCACUUUCUGGAUGCCUCACCAUUCUGUUUCCUCCUCUGUAAAAUGGGGGUCAUGAAUCAUGCAGUUAUUAUGAGCAUUAACUGAAUUAAUCUUCGGCAUGAGUCAGUGCCUGGCACAAAGUACGUAUGCUACUUGUCAUGGCAGCUACUUGAAUGAUGUCUCUGUGUGUGACUCCUACGCGGCCUCUUCCCUUUACUUAUUAUCCAUCCUCGCUGAGAGACAAGUUGUUGGCGUUCAUGGUGCCACUUGUGAAACGUGUUGGAAGGCCCAGGUAAUCAGGAUGAGGCUCGCCACCAGGCCUCAUGAGGGCCAUGGUCCACUCCCAUCAUAUUUUGAGCAGGUGUCUUAUGGCAGAAACUUUUCACUCCGAAUAAAAUCAUGUAAAAUGUGGCUGCUUAGUUUAAAUCAGAGAUGGGACGUCCAGAAGUCCACCUAUUUGUGCCCCGUCUGUAGUACUGUCCCCAAUUUAUCCUUCUACAAAUCCACAGAGUCAUAAUCCUGUGUGCCAACCGAACUUCUAGCCAAAUUGUCAGUUGGAAUGAUUUGAGUUUCUUCUCUGGGUCCUGCCCUGUGUAUUUUAUAGUUUUAGGUGGAAGAAAAUUGAGGGCUGGCUGUCCUCGUUUUAGAUUCAACUACCACUUAUUGAACAUCUAAACAUCAUGCCACAAACUCUCAUUAUUAACCUGAAAAGUGUGCAUUGUAUUUUCAGAUGCAUCUAGUAAGCCUCAGAGAGUUAAAAUCCUUGCUCACAACAGAACCAUCAUGACUUCGAAACACUUCUUAAAAUGCUCUAGACUUUAUGCCCACCUUUUAGUGCAACUGAAAUCGGUCUCAACUUGCAUUUAUAUAAAACUCUGUUAUGUAAAAAAUUCUUUCACUUUUGAAAUGUUGGCAUUUGGUACUCAAAUAUCAUUUUUUUCUCCUCAAGUAUUUGUUCUCAAACUAGGCUUUUCCAGUUGACAAAAUUGAGUCUCUGAAGAUUAAUUGAAGACCACAGAACAAGUGAGAGACAUAACUGGGAUUCCAACCAGGUCAUCUGGCCUCAAGCCCAGGGUACCCAGCCCACCAUGACUCAGGUGAAGUUCUAAAGUCCACACCGCACUUUCCCAUACAGGCUGCUGCUUCUCAGAGGCCCUCCGCCUUCUCCAGAUCCUCUGCUGUUGUAUGUCCUCAUGGCACACAAACGAGAGUCCAUUUAACCCAGUGACGAAGAUACCAUUACAAUUUCCAGUGAGCAAAUGACAUAUGUAAUGGUCCAACAUAAAGACAGUAAUGCUCCUGUUAUUAACCCAGCUCACAAGGGACCAAGAGGAAUGAAGUUAAUAAGAAGGAACAAUCUGAAAGCUCUGGCUGAAAGUUACUGAUGGUCACCCAUGGUCUGGAAGCAGAUGGUCCUCGUUUUGAUGAACCGUGAGAAGGUCCAGAGUAGCCACAUGCUACGUGCCUGUGUCAUUCCCCUCACAUGAUCUCAGCAUGUGGGCGUUAUACCAUCUCAUAUUGUCACAAGAAGACAGGACGCAGACGAUUCUCCUGACGAAUCAUCAGAGGGUCAACAGUAGCCUAGCGCUGCGUCACAGUGCCUGCGUCAUUUUCUUCGCUUCAUCUCAUCACAUAGGUAUUUUACCGUCUCACAUCGUCAUAAGAAAAGGGGAGAUGCAGCAAAAGCUCAUACUGUCUGUAUAAUGCUUCCACAAGCACAAGUGCUUGGCGCUGCUGAUUCUGCUGGGCUUGAGCUAACGUUGAAGAGCAUUUGAACAAACAUUGUGUCACUUCCUAAUGGCCACCAUAGACUCAGAUGUUUGCAGAUCUAAAAAAAGAUAGAAGAGAGAAAGAGAAGUCAGAGAAGCCCCAAGAAGGGAAUAUUGAAGGAGGAAGCAGCAGUUUUGUCAAAUCUUUUAAGCCUGAGAAACAUGAAGACCGGAAGUUUGGCACCAUGGAGGUCAAAGAUGCCCGUAGCUGGGACCAGGCUUUUCUUUUAACAGCACGCAUGGAACUACAAUCAAAGACAUUCUCAGACUGAAACUCUAGGCAUUAAGAAGCUGCACAAACAGAUAAGCAAGGGGGUUUUGACCCCCGAGGAAUCACACCAUGUUGGGGACUUUCUAUUUGUGACAUCAGUUGUCCAGGACAGCUUUUGGUAGCACUGUGCUCGGCCCCUGAUGUGAGGCACUUAGGAGCGUGGGCUGCGAGCCUGCUGGUGAUUUCCACAUUUCUCAGGAUAUAUUCACCAACAUCUGGACCAAGUUAUCAAUUUUUAACUCAGUUAUCAUCUCUGAUCUUGUAAACGUAUGAUAUGAGUAAGAUCUCACCCUGAAAUUGAAUCUGCAGUGCUGUCUUAACUGUUAAAAGCAUUUUGUGGGAAUUUACCAGGUACUUAAACCGUUCCCCCAUUUUAUGGGAUUGUCGAUACCAAACUCUUUCUAUGAGUGAGAAAAAAAUUGUCUAGAAUUCCUCCAUCCAUGUGCUUCAUAGCUAGGGUCACUUAAAAUUCUAGCCUGGCCCCACCACAAAAAUGCCAACCUUUCUUUCCUAACAAAGUCCUUCUGAAUCCUGUGUCGAACUGUUAAUAGUAAUUUUUUGCUGACUCCCACACACAGCUGGCAAAGUACUUGGAUGAAAGGCUCAAAGAAAUGCAGAAAAAUUUUGAAAAACAAGAUUUCUCCAUGUCCAAGCUGAGAAGGAGAGUUCAGACCUGUAUUCAAAAACUAUGGUUAUAACUUUUGAUAAAAUAUAAUACUAAUAAAGAAAAACAAGGUUUGAAGAAAGAGAAAUUGCUUUUAUAUUUCAUAUGAAAAUUUCCAUAAUGUUACUCGGCUCUUGAAUUCAAGUGCUUUGGUCCCGCGCUGAAGUAUAUAUCAGGAUGAUGGCACAUACUUAAUGAGAAUGGCUACCAUUCACUGUGUGCCAGGCAUGGUUUUGAUGCUUUAUGUGCACUGUGUCUCAAUCUUUUGAACAACUACAUGAAGUAGGUGUCAUUAUCUCUACUUCAUUACUAGGGAAAGUGAGAUACAGAAGUUUAAGUAACUUGUCCAGGUUGAGCCAACAAGGGGCGGCAGCAAGAUCCAAAUGCUAACCUUGCCUCAAGUCCAUGUCCCUAAGCCCUUAGAGUAAGAAUGUUCUAGAAACAUAAGUAAGCACCCAGGCCAUAUAAUUCCUCCUUUACUUAUGUGAGCUUUUCUGUGUAAGCUUUUCAUAGUCUUACAGGACCAGUUCAGUCAAACGUAAGAGAAGUUCAGAAACCAGUCUGAAGAAGCCCAUCACUGAAAGUAUGGGACAGGUCACCGCAUGUGACUACUGACUGAUGUUUAAUGGCAGCUAAUAUCAAAUCAGUAACUUGAAAAAUCAGACUCUGUAACCCACACUGCGCCCUUUCUUUGUAUCAUUCUUCAAUGGAUUCCAAAGCUUCUGGUGAGAGGCAAAAUCUAGACAGAAGAGGAGAAAUCGCCAGGCGCGAAGAGUCCUGUUUGUUUGUGACGGUUCAGCAAGGCUGCUGCCAGCAGUCCUGGAGGAGACCGACCGCCAGAGCCACCCUCCACCCCUCUCGCCCCCUCCCCACCCCACUGGCAGCCAGAGCCUCUGGCUUGCAUUUGACUUGACUUCUUGCAAUAAUGUGAAUUCUAGAAGGCUAUUAGACUACCGGCCUAAAUUUAAGGGUAGUUUCCAACAGUUCGAGUCUGUCGAUGCUGAAGUUAAAAAAAUGAGGGGAAAAAACAUUUUGCACUCAAAAACAAACAUAUAUUACAAAGAAGGGUUAAUUCAGCACAAAAUCAGCUGCGUCUCAGUUCUGGGAAAAAUCAUCAUAUUGAGUAUCUCCACUGACUUUCCUGCCCUUUACAAGGCCAGAGAUUUCUAAAAUAAAAUGUCAUAUUCUUCCUCAACUUCAAAAAUCAGUUCCUUAGAGCUGCUUUCCUGGGAUGCCACCAUGAUCCUCCAAGGGGUUUAAAGGUAGGUAUGCUGAUCUUGAGGUAUAGACAUGAAUUCAAAUCCCCACUAGACAUGUGUGCUGACAUCGCAUUUCAGACAACAAUUUGAGCUUCAGUUUCCUUACACGCAAAAUAAAAAUGACACGGGUGCCUGGGUGACUCAGUCAACUCUUGAUUUCUGCUCGGAUUUUGAUCUCACCAUGAUGACAUCCAGCCCCACGUUGGGCUGUGGGCUGAGAGUACAGCCUGCUUCAGAUUCUCUUUCUCCCUCUCCCUCUGCCCCACACCUGCUCACGCACGCACGCUCUCUCU